rnacentral:rRNA from 1 species
CCCUGGACUCUGGGAUAAGCGCUGGAAACGGCGUCUAAUACUGGAUAUGAGACGUGAUCGCAUGGUCGUGUUUGGAAAGAUUUUUCGGUCUGGGAUGGGCUCGCGGCCUAUCAGCUUGUUGGUGAGGUAAUGGCUCACCAAGGCGUCGACGGGUAGCCGGCCUGAGAGGGUGACCGGCCACACUGGGACUGAGACACGGCCCACACUCCUACGGGAGGCAGCAGUGGGGAAUAUUGCACAAUGGGCGGAAGCCUGAUGCAGCAACGCCGCGUGAGGGAUGACGGCCUUCGGGUUGUAAACCUCUUUUAGCAGGGAAGAAGCGAAA